GCGAGCGGCGGAUGGGUGAGUAACACGUGGGGAACCUGCCCCUAAGUCUGGGAUACCAUUUGGAAACAGGUGCUAAUACCGGAUAAUAAAGCAGAUCGCAUGAUCAGCUUUUGAAAGGCGGCGUAAGCUGUCGCUAAGGGAUGGCCCCGCGGUGCAUUAGCUAGUUGGUAAGGUAACGGCUUACCAAGGCGACGAUGCAUAGCCGAGUUGAGAGACUGAUCGGCCACAUUGGGACUGAGACACGGCCCAAACUCCUACGGGAGGCAGCAGUAGGGAAUCUUCCACAAUGGACGCAAGUCUGAUGGAGCAACGCCGCGUGAGUGAAGAAGGUUUUCGGAUCGUAAAGCUCUGUUGUUGGUGAAGAAGGAUAGAGGUAGUAACUGGCCUUUAUUUGACGGUAAUCAACCAGAAAGUCACGGCUAACUACGUGCCAGCAGCCGCGGUAAUACGUAGGUGGCAAGCGUUGUCCGGAUUUAUUGGGCGUAAAGCGAGCGCAGGCGGAAAAAUAAGUCUAAUGUGAAAGCCCCUCGGCUUAACCGAGGAACUGCAUCGGAAACUGUUUUUCUUGAGUGCAGAAGAGGA
rnacentral:rRNA from 1 species